GUGCCAGCAGCCGCGGUAAUACGAAGGUCCCGAGCGUUGUUCGGAAUCACUGGGCGUAAAGGGAGCGUAGGCGGCGCGGUAAGUCGGAUGUGAAAUCCCGGGGCUCAACCCCGGAACUGCAUCUGAUACUGCCGUGCUUGAGCGAUGGAGGGGUAGCUGGAAUUAUCGGUGUAGCAGUGAAAUGCGUAGAUAUCGAUAGGAACACUCGUGGCGAAAGCGAGCUACUGGACAUCUGCUGACGCUGAGGCUCGAAGGCCAGGGGAGCGAAAGGGAUUAGAUACCCCUGUAGUCCUGGCAGUAAACGGUGCGCGCUUGGUGUGAGGGGAUUCGACCCCCCUCGUGCCGGAGCUAACGCGUUAAGCGCGCCGCCUGGGAAGUACGGUCGCAAGACUAAAACUCAAAGAAAUUGACGGGGACCCGCACAAGCGGUGGAGUAUGUGGCUUAAUUCGAUGCAACGCGAAGAACCUUACCUAGGCUUGACAUGCAUCUUCUAAGCGCGUGAAAGCGCGUGACCCUUCGGGGGAUUUGCACAGGUGCUGCAUGGCUGUCGUCAGCUCGUGUCGUGAGAUGUUGGGUUAAGUCCCGCAACGAGCGCAACCCUUGUGAACAGUUGCCAGCGGGUAAUGCCGGGGACUCUGUUCAGACUGCCCAGAUCAACUGGGAGGAAGGUGGGGACGACGUCAGGUCAGUAUGGCCCUUACGCCUAGGGCUGCACACGUACUACAAUGCCCAGUACAAUUUGAACCGAUGCCGCGAGGCGGAGGAAAUCAGGAAAACUGGGCCCAGUUCGGAUUGGAGGCUGCAACUCGCCUCCAUGAAGUUGGAAUCGCUAGUAAUGCCGUAUCAUCUACGACGGCGUGAAUACGUUCCCGGGUCUUGUACACACCGCCCGUCACAUCAUGGAAGCCGGUAGCACCCGAAGUAUCGUUCGAUCGGUCCUAAGGUGAAGCUGGUAACUGGGAUGAAGUCGUAACAAGGUAACC
rnacentral:rRNA from 1 species